rnacentral:rRNA from 1 species
GACGAACGCUGGCGGCGUGCUUAACACAUGCAAGUCGAACGAGAAUCUAAUGACGGAGUUUUCGGACAACUGAUUUAGAGGACAGUGGCGGACGGGUGAGUAACGCGUGAGGAACCUGCCUUUCAGAGGGGGACAACAGUUGGAAACGACUGCUAAUACCGCAUGACACAUAGGUGUCGCAUGGCACUUAUGUCAAAGAUUUAUCGCUGAAAGAUGGCCUCGCGUCUGAUUAGCUAGUUGGUGAGGUAACGGCCCACCAAGGCGACGAUCAGUAGCCGGACUGAGAGGUUGAACGGCCACAUUGGGACUGAGAUACGGCCCAGACUCCUACGGGAGGCAGCAGUGGGGAAUAUUGGGCAAUGGGCGCAAGCCUGACCCAGCAACGCCGCGUGAAGGAAGAAGGCUUUCGGGUUGUAAACUUCUUUGUCAGGGACGAGUAGAAGACGGUACCUGACGAAUAAGCCACGGCUAACUACGUG